GCUUGGAUAUAGUAAUAUUCUAGUGUCCUAAAGAGGCACUAGACUUAGUGAAUGUUGGAACUUCACUUUGAGACACAAACUAGACCCUUAGGGUUGCUAGUAGCUAUUCUAUGUUAGAGCCAUGAUGACGAGAUCCGUGACAUGAUGACUAUGGUUACUUGCCAUUUGUGCUCAUUCGCACAUGCUUGUGAGGGUCGCUCCCUACAAGCUGGCACUCCGGAGUUGGCCUUUUGCGACGCAGUUCGCGCGUGCGGGAUUGAGACGCCUGUAGGGUCGCGUGGGAUAGUCUCAUUCCAGAGUGGGAUGACGAGCUACCACGGGCAGCUAGGUGGCGAGGCGCCUGUAGGGUCGGGUGGGACAGUCUCAUUCCUCGAGGGGGAAUGUUGGAGCUACCACCGGCAGCUAGGCGGCAUAAGUUGUACUACACAUGUGUUGGUCCUGGAUGAGAUUGAAUGGUGAAC
rnacentral:lncRNA from 1 species